rnacentral:rRNA from 1 species
CCUACGGGCGGCAGCAGUGGGGAAUAUUGCACAAUGGGGGAAACCCUGAUGCAGCGACGCCGCGUGAGUGAAGAAGAAUUACGGUAUGUAAAGCUCUAUCAGCAGGGAAGAAAAAGACGGUACCUGAGUAAGAAGCCACGGCGAACUACGUGCCAGCAGCCGCGGUAAUACGUAGGGGGCAAGCGUUAUCCGGAUUUACUGGGGGUAAAGGGAGCGUAGACGGCAGAACAAGUCUGGAGUGAAAUGCCGGGGCUUAACCCCGGAACGGCUUUGGAAACUGUGCAGCUAGAGUGCAGGAGCGGUAAGUGGACUUCCUAGUGUAGCGGUGCAAUGCGUAGAUAUUAGGAGGAACACCCGUGGCGAAGGCGGCUUACUGGACUGUAUCUGACGUUGAUGCUCGAAAGCGUGGGUAUCAAACAGGAUUAGAUACCCUAGUAGUC